GGUAUCUUGACUGUAUACUGAUAUCUUCUGGUGUCUACGGGGUGUGAUAUCUUUUGGUGUCUUCAGUCUGUGGGAUGCAACCUUCAACAGCUUCAAUCGCUCGGUUUCCAAGUGGUUCCUCCUGCAAUGGUCUGUUUAUGGUGAAGUUGCCACAGAGCAUGUGUCUAUCUAGUGUUCGUUUCAGCCAGAAGCAGCCAUCCUUAGGUGCAAUCAUAAUAGACUCAUGGUAUCAACUUUAAUCACAGAGUCGCAACCAGCACCUCGAUUAUACAGUAUUUUGGAGAUGUAAUAUUUUUGGUGCUGGGGUGGAUUCCAGUUUGCCCUCCGGGGGUCAUCUGGUUGAUUCCACUUGACACCUUUUUCCACCGACACUGAACUCUUUAGGCUGGCAACUCCCUAACCAUUCAUUCAUCGUUUAAACUAGGCACUCAUUCACAUACAUUUUCUAUCUUAAUCCCAUCUAUUUUACUGUCUUUUUACCUUUUGGGGUGUUACCAAUUUAUGUGAGACUCCCUGUCUUUUAUUAUUCAAAAAU